rnacentral:misc_RNA from 1 species
CCCCUUCCAUAGAUCAAUGGCUGCCAAAAAUUAUAAAAAUCUCAGUAUCAGUUGAAAUCUAGAAUUUAAAAAAUUGGAAAGGAAGACAAGAAACACAAAUAAUGAUUCUUAAAGACAGGAAAACAGUUACCCUAACAUCAUAGAACUUUUACCAAGGACCGAUCCCAUAGUAUAGUUUCAUUAGAUCUUUGUGUGCAUCAAUCAGCAGGUUAGAAGUACAGUAUAUGAUUAGGCAACUUCAAGAAUGAAAAAUAAGAGAAGGAUGGUAGGGUGAACAGGUUCCUGAAAUCUGUCUAAGAGAAUUGACAGAAAUGGUACAUCAAGUAAAGUUUCUGAUACAUGGAAUCAGAUACGUUCAUUUCUGUCAAUUCUUUCAUUUAUAUCAACUAUCAAGGCAUUCUAAUGAACUAGUUUUGAUCUAGACAUGGAAAGCUUACAAAACUAGCCCACAGGGAAAAAACUAGCCCACAGGGAAUAAACAAAAAAAAACAGAUACGAUUUCAACUACAAAUGCAAAGCUUACAGAACUAGAACACUAAAAUGCCUUGUAAACCAUUAGAAAACAUAAAACUCAUUGCCAAGUUUGUUAACAUCACAG